UAAAGAUUUAUUUUUUAUUUAAUGUGUUUCAUCUGUGUAUACUCUGUGUGAGGGUGUUGGAUCCCCUGGAACUGGACUUACAGACAAUUUUGAGCUGGGUGCUAGGAAUUGAACCUGGGUCCUCUGGAAGAACAGCCAGUGCUCCAGCCAUCUCUCCAGCCCUGGAAUUAUUUUUUAAUCCACUGAUUAUUUUUUUUACUAACAUACCCAUAUUCACAAAAGCAACACUCUCCAGAUCCUGUUUUAUGCUAUUUUAUUUUUAAUUUAAAAGAGUUAUGGGGAGAUUGCUCAGUGGUUAAGAACACUGGCUGCAGAAUCUGGAAACAACCUAGAAGCCAGUCAGCUGAAGAAUGGAUUAAGAAAAUGUGGUACAUAUACACAAUGGAGUACUACUCAGCAGAGAAAAACAAUGACAUCAUGAAAUUUGCAGGCAAAUGGAUGGAACUAGAAAAUAUCAUCUUGAGUGAGGUAACCCUGACUCAGAAGGACAAACAUGGUAUGUACUCACUCAUAAGUGGAUACUAGAUAUAAAUGGAUUAAUUUAAGCUGUAAGACAGUUAGCAAGAAGCCUGGUAUGGCCAUACAGUUUGUAAGCAAUAUAAGUCUCUGUGUUUACUUGGUUGGGUCUUAGCAUCUGUAUGACUGGCAGGUGAGAGAGAUUUGUCCUGACUGUGGGCCAGGCAGAAAAACUCUAGGUACAAUGAUCCACCAUGAACAACUUGUUUUUAUCUCAGAGAUGCAGAGAUGGUUUGAAAUACACAAGUCAACAGAUUUAACAAAGCACAGAAACAGACUUAGACAAAAAGUCACCUAAUCUUCUCAAUACAUGUAGAUAAGGUCCUUGCCAAAAUCCAAUAUACCAUCAUGAUAACAGUCCAGAGAGUGUAAGACAAGAAGGACAAUACCUCAACACAAUAACAAUUAUAUAAGGAGAAACUCAGAGCCAACAUCAUCCUCAAUGGAAGAAAACAUGAGUGCAUUGAGGUGAUAAGAGACAGGUUUGUCUCUCAUCUUGAAUCCUUUUCAAUGUUGUGCUCAAUCUAUUAGCUGGAGCAAUAAAUCAGGAGAACAAAAUUAAAGGGAGACCAAUAGGAGAAUAGAAAUCAAUACUGUUUGUAUUAGUUAUGGUUUCUAUUGCUGGGAAGAGAUACCAUGACCAUGGCUACUCCUAUUAGGGAACCAUUUCAUUGGGAUGGAUUCCUGUUUCACAGGUUUUGUCCACCAUCAUCAUGGUGGGACAUGGCAGCAUGCAGGCAGACAUGGUCUUGGAUAAGGAGCUGAGAGUUCUCAUCCUGAUCAGCAAGCAGUAAAAGAGCCUGUGUCUACUCUGGGUGUAACUUGAGUACAGGAGACCUCAAAUGGCCCCCACAGAGACAAACUUCCCCCAACAAGGUCACACCACCGCCAACAAGGCCAAACCUUCUGAUAGUGACACUUCCUAUAAGCUUAUGGGGCCCAUUUGCAUUCAAAGUACCACACUGUCCAAAGAAAUUUUCCUGAUAAUAGGGUAGGCAAUUCUUUAUUUUAUAAAUAUCCUCCAAUUUCAUUUGGGAAUAUAAAUAGCAUUAACAGUUCUUAUAUAAAAGUAAUUGCUUUUGUUUUGUUAAUAUUGUGCAUCAGGUCAAAUCCUCUGAAUGUGUUUCCUUUUUUCUUUGUACCUCUUACAUAGUGAAGUGCCAUGAAAAAUGAAGGAUAGAUUUAAACUUUACUGUGCGCAAUAGAUUUGCUAUUAAAAUGUCUUUGUCUUCAAUAUAUACUACAUAGAAUUUCAAGUACACGUGUCAUAAAAUUAGGAAUUCAAGUAUGUUCUUAGAAAUCAAAUAAGACCUUUCUAACAUAUGUUACCAAUACUCCUUUUGAUAGAGUGUGUCUGACCCUAAUGGACCACAGGAAUCUUCUACAACAGGUCCCAACUCAUCCAAAAUGGACAAUGAUGCAGAAAAAAAUGUAAUAAUGCAUCAGGAGAGAACAUCUGUCAUGGAAGACCAAGAGCAUGCCUCAGAAGAGCAGAA